UACGGAGGGGGCUAGCGUUGUUCGGAAUUACUGGGCGUAAAGCGCACGUAGGCGGCUUUGUAAGUUAGAGGUGAAAGCCUGCAGCUUAACUCCAGAAUUGCCUUUAAGACUGCAUCGCUCGAAUCCGGAAGAGGUGAGUGGAAUUCCGAGUGUAGAGGUGAAAUUCGUAGAUAUUCGGAAGAACACCAGUGGCGAAGGCGGCUCACUGGACCGGUAUUGACGCUGAGGCGCGAAAGUGUGGGGAGCGAACCGG
rnacentral:rRNA from 1 species